UACGUAGGGGGCAAGCGUUAUCCGGAUUUACUGGGUGUAAAGGGAGCGCAGACGGCAGGGCAAGUCUGGAGUGUAAGGCAGGGGCCCAACCCCUGGACUGCUCUGGAAACUGUCCGGCUGGAGUGCAGGAGAGGUAAGUGGAAUUCCUAGUGUAGCGGUGAAAUGCGUAGAUAUUAGGAGGAACACCAGUGGCGAAGGCGGCUUACUGGACUGUAACUGACGUUGAGGCUCGAAAGCGUGGGGAGCAAACAGG
rnacentral:rRNA from 1 species